rnacentral:pre_miRNA from 1 species
UACGUACUCCCUCCGUCCAAAAAUACUUGUCAUCAAAAUGGAUAAAAGUGGAUGUAUCUAAAACUAAAAUACGUCUAGAUACAUCUCCGUUUAUCCAUUUUGAUGACAAGUAUUUCCAGACGGAGGAAGUACGUG